CACGUAGUUAGCCGUGACUUUCUGGUUGAAUACCGUCACUGCAUGAACAGUUACUCUCAUGCACGUUCUUCUUCAACAACAGAGUUUUACGAGCCGAAACCCUUCUUCACUCACGCGGUGUUGCUCCAUCAGGCUUGCGCCCAUUGUGGAAGAUUCCCUACUGCUGCCUCCCGUAGGAGUAUGGACCGUGUCUCAGUUCCAUUGUGGCCGAUCAGUCUCUCAACUCGGCUAUGCAUCAUUGCCUUGGUAGGCCGUUACCCUACCAACUAGCUAAUGCACCGCGGGCCCAUCCUAAAGUGAUAGCCGAAACCAUCUUUGAUACGAAAACCAUGUGGUUUUCGUAGUUAUGCGGUAUUAGCACCUGUUUCCAAAUGUUAUCCCCCACUUUAGGGCAGGUUGCCCACGUGUUACUCACCCGUCCGCCGCUCACUGGUAAUCCAUCGUCAAAUCAGUGCAAGCACGUCAUAUCAGUUGGGCCAGUGCGCUCGA
rnacentral:rRNA from 1 species